UUGUUUUUGUUACGACGAUCUACAUUCAUUACACUUAAAAGUUUAUGGUGUUUGCACCCGGGGCCCAAGAGCCACGAGACAUACAGUUCACGGUGUGUGUGGAAUAGACACGGCCAGAAGGCCAAUCUCUAAUGAUCCUUCCGCAGGUUCACCUACGGAAA
rnacentral:misc_RNA from 1 species